GUGCCCGUAGUUCAGUGGAUAGAACGCGACGUUGCGGACGUCGAAGUCGGGGGUUCAAUUCCCUCCGGGCACACCA
rnacentral:tRNA from 1 species